UACUUUGUGCAGUGGCAGUAUUGUAGCUAAUGAGAUUAAUCCGAGUCACAAUUAUUGCUAACUGAAAUCUUUUCCCAGCACCCUACUAUGACAACUUGAGAUAUAGUUGGCAUUGGCAAUUUUUGACAGUUCCUCUUGCUA